rnacentral:rRNA from 1 species
AACGAACGCUGGCGGCAGGCCUAACACAUGCAAGUCGAACGGACCCUUCGGGGUUAGUGGCGGACGGGUGAGUAACACGUGGGAACGUGCCUUUAGGUUCGGAAUAACUCAGGGAAACUUGUGCUAAUACCGAAUGUGCCCUUCGGGGGAAAGAUUUAUCGCCUUUAGAGCGGCCCGCGUCUGAUUAGCUAGUUGGUGAGGUAAUGGCUCACCAAGGCUACGAUCAGUAGCUGGUCUGAGAGGAUGACCAGCCACAUUGGGACUGAGACACGGCCCAAACUCCUACGGGAGGCAGCAGUGGGGAAUCUUGCGCAAUGGGCGAAAGCCUGACGCAGCCAUGCCGCGUGGAUGAUGAAGGUCUUAGGAUUGUAAAAUCCUUUCACCGGUGAAGAUAAUGACUGUAGCCGGAGAAGAAGCCCCGGCUAACUUCGUGCCAGCCGCCGCAGUAAAAC